UACGAAGGGGGCUAGCGUUGUUCGGAAUCACUGGGCGUAAAGCGCACGUAGGCGGAUCUUUAAGUCAGGGGUGGAAUCCCCCGGCUCAACCGGGGAACUGCCGUGGAUACUGCCAUUCUCGAGGGGUGUAGGGGCAUGCGGAACUCAGGGUGGAGCGGUGAAAUGCGUAGAUAUCAGGAGGAACACCCAUGGCGAAGGCAGUUCACUGGCAGUCUCCUGACGCUGAGGCGCGAAAGCGUGGGUAGCAAACAGG
rnacentral:rRNA from 1 species